CAAAUGGACCAAAAUGGUAAUCUAAAUAUGAAUUAUAUAGAUUAAUAAUGAAAUGGAAAUCUAAAUAUGUAUUAGGGAGUGGGUGGGUGGGACCGGUGCAAAAUGUGAUAGGAUACACAUUUAUUUUGACUUGCAUACUAAUAGGACUCCAACUUUUUUUUUUUUUAUUUUCAACAGUGAUAGGACAGCUAUAUAUUUUUUGCAAACGUAGUAAAGAACAAAAAAUAUAAAGUAUUUCAAACUUUUAAUUCAACUAUCUUUUUAAAAAAUAAUAAUACUGAAUUGUGUGCAUGCUUUAUUUCAUGUCCAAGCUAAAUAUACUAAAGGCAAUUUGCGAUAAAAUACUGAACCUUUGAAAUUUUUUAUAUUAAAACAUGUAGUCAUUUUUUAAAAUCUCAAAAGAAGUAUUCAGCUGUGAAUAGGGUCGGAAAGUCUCGUUUACUUUCACUUUCGAUUUACUACUUCCGGGCAGCAGUCGAAAAAUGUCACUUUGUUUUGCGUUGGUUAUGCUCAGAUGACAAGUGUUAAAAUGAACCUACAGCCUAUAUAGAUUCCCUACUUAUGCAAAAAGAAGAAGAAGUGGAUUUAUAGUUGCAGAUGCUGUUAUAUACAUCAUUUCCUUCAGAAGUAUCAAUGUGUUGGCGGCUGUUAUGAAGAGAAUGGGGCCCAUUUUAACAACUUCUAGGAUGGGCAGUACUUGGGUUCAUACCAGUGAUCAAUUUCUCAUGACUCUUAUGAAGUUGCACCUAAAUCUAAGGGAUCUACAUUUAGCAGGCCAGAGGGCUCAAUGCCGAAUUUACCUCUGAAAAAAUCGCAAUGGAUACAACAAACAUAACACUGAAUUUAACUUUAAAAUUGAAUAACUAGUCAUUAUCUGACAGCAACUACAUUGUGCAAAAUUUGUCACACAGCAAAGGCUAUCACUUGUGUAGCAUAAUUGUUCUGAAUUCUAUCCAGAAUCCACCUCUGAUGGUGACAUUGUUGAUCACUGAGGUGUAUUGGAGAUGUUGAAGCCAUAUGAUAUAUGAUUCUUGCUAAUAAAGGAUUUGAUAUAUUU